rnacentral:rRNA from 1 species
GCCUGAUCCAGCCAUGCCGCGUGUGUGAAGAAGGCCCUCGGGUUGUAAAGCACUUUCAGCGAGGAAGAACGCCUAGCGGUUAAUACCCGCUAGGAAAGACAUCACUCGCAGAAGAAGCACCGGCUAACUCCGUGCCAGCAGCCGCGGUAAUACGGAGGGUGCAAGCGUUAAUCGGAAUUACUGGGCGUAAAGCGCGCGUAGGUGGCUUGAUAAGCCGGUUGUGAAAGCCCCGGGCUCAACCUGGGAACGGCAUCCGGAACUGUCAAGCUAGAGUGCAGGAGAGGAAGGUAGAAUUCCCGGUGUAGCGGUGAAAUGCGUAGAGAUCGGGAGGAAUACCAGUGGCGAAGGCGGCCUUCUGGACUGACACUGACACUGAGGUGCGAAAGCGUGGGUAGCAAACAGGAUUAGAUACCCUGGUAGUCCACGCCGUAAACGAUGUCGACCAGCCGUUGGGUGCCUAGCGCACUUUGUGGCGAAGUUAACGCGAUAAGUCGACCGCCUGGGGAGUACGGCCGCAAGGUUAAAACUCAAAUGAAUUGACGGGGGCCCGCACAAGCGGUGGAGCAUGUGGUUUAAUUCGAUGCAACGCGAAGAACCUUACCUACUCUUGACAUCCUGCGAAUUUGGUAGAGAUACCUUAGUGCCUUCGGGAACGCAGAGACAGGUGCUGCAUGGCUGUCGUCAGCUCGUGUUGUGAAAUGUUGGGUUAAGUCCCGUAACGAGCGCAACCCUUGUCCUUAUUUGCCAGCGCGUAAUGGCGGGAACUCUAAGGAGACUGCCGGUGACAAACCGGAGGAAGGUGGGGACGACGUCAAGUCAUCAUGGCCCUUACGAGUAGGGCUACACACGUGCUACAAUGGUCGGUACAAAGGGUUGCCAACUCGCGAGAGUGAGCCAAUCCCGAAAAGCCGAUCUCAGUCCGGAUCGGAGUCUGCAACUCGACUCCGUGAAGUCGGAAUCGCUAGUAAUCGUGGAUCAGAAUGCCACGGUGAAUACGUUCCCGGGCCUUGUAC